rnacentral:rRNA from 1 species
AAUAUUUGACCAUGGGCGCAAGCCUGAUCCAGCCAUGCCGCGUGAGUGAUGAAGGCCCUAGGGCUGUAAAGCUCAUUCACCGGUGAAGAUAAUGACGGUAACCGGAGGAGAUGCCCCGGCUAACUUCGUUCUAGCCGCCGCGGUAAUAUGAAGGGGGCUAGUGUUGUUCGGACUUACUAGGCGGAAAGCGGAAGUAGGAGGAUUGGUAAGUUAGGGGUGAAAUCCCAGGGCUUAACCCUGGAACUGCCUUUAAUACUGCCAGUAUUGAGGAUGGAAGAGGUGAGUGGAAUUGCGAGUGUAGAGGUGAAAUUCGUAGAUAUUCGCAGGAACACCAGUGGCGAAGGCGGCUCACUGGUCCAUUACUGACGCUGAGGUGCGAAAGCGUGGGGAGCAAACA